UGAGAGUUUGAUCCUGGCUCAGAACGAACGCUGGCGGCGUGCCUGACACAUGCAAGUCGAACGGAGUCAUUUUGAAGUAGCAAUACGGAAGAAUGACUUAGUGGCGCACGGGUGAGUAACACGUAGGUAACCUGCCCUUAAGAGGGGGAAAACCCGCCGAAAGGCGAGCUAAUACCGCAUAAGACCACGAACUGAGAUGUUUGUGGUAAAAGGAGCAAUCCACUUAAGGAUGGGCCUGCGGCCUAUCAGGUAGUUGGUGAGGUAACGGCUCACCAAGCCUAAGACGGGUAGCCGGUCUGAGAGGACGGACGGCCACACUGGAACUGAGACACGGUCCAGACUCCUAUGGGAGGCAGCAGUGGGGAAUUUUGCACAAUGGGCGAAAGCCUGAUGCAGCGACGCCGCGUGGAGGAUGAAGGCCUUCGGGUUGUAAACUCCUUUUGUAGGGGAAAAUAAUGAUGGUACCCUGCGAAUAAGCCACGGCUAACUCUGUGCCAGCAGCCGCGGUAAGACAGAGGUGGCAAGCGUUGUUCGGAAUUACUGGGCUUAAAGGGCGCGUAGGCGGUAAGAUAAGUCUGUGGUGAAAUCCUAUGGCUUAACCAUAGAAUUGCCAUGGAAACUGUUUUACUUGAGUCAGCGAGGGGAUGGUGGAAUUCCUGGUGUAGCAGUGAAAUGCGUAGAUAUCCGGAGGAAGGCCGGUGGCGAAGGCGGCCAUCUGGCGCUGAACUGACGCUGAGGCGCGAAAGCGUGGGUAGCAAACAGGAUUAGAUACCCUGGUAGUCCACGCCCUAAACGGUGGGCAUUAGGUGUAGGGCUCGUAAGGGUUCUGUGCCGUAGGGAAACCAUUAAAUGCCCCGCCUGGGGAGUACGGCCGCAAGGUUGAAACUCAAAGGAAUUGACGGGGGCCCGCACAAGCGGUGGAGCAUGUGGUUUAAUUCGACGCAACGCGAAGAACCUUACCUGGGCUUGACAUG
rnacentral:rRNA from 1 species